rnacentral:tRNA from 2 species
GGGUGCUUAGCUCAGUGGGAGAGCGCUUCCUUGACGCGGAAGAGGUCGCAGGUUCGAUCCCUGCAGCACCCACCA